CCCGCCAAGGUCUCUUCAGAUCACCUAAAUCUUUUGCCUUUUACUAAAGAUUUCCAUGGAGAGGAACACUCGGAGAUUUAAUUAAUUUUUUGAUGCCCUACCUUUGUGAAAGGU